CCGAGUUCAUGCCCUUACGGGUAGAUCUCCCACCCUAUGUUAUUAUUACCUUUGUUGCUUUGGCGGGCCGUCAGAUCUCGGUCAGGCUACCGGCUCCGGCUGGUAAGCGCCCGCCAGAGGACCCCAAACUCUGAAUAUUAGUGUCGUCUGAGUACUAUAUAAUAGUUA
rnacentral:misc_RNA from 1 species